AACGAGGCCGACCUGCGGCUGAGUUACCUGCGGAGGGAUCAUUAAUAAAUGUUACUUCGGUAACUUAAUUAAUCCCUAACACCUGUGCAUCUUGUCGCUUCGGCGUCAUUUUAUAAACAUCAGUGUAAUGAAUGUAACGUAUUAUAACAAAUACAACUUUUAACAACGGAUCU
rnacentral:misc_RNA from 1 species